AGAGGAGAGUGUUUCUUCCCAGCAGCCCAGACACCUGGUAAAAGGGCUGAGAGAGGAUAGGAAUCAAAUAACAAACACCAAACCCUGGCCAGCACCGGCCAGAGCGGAGGAAGGACUCGGGGCAGGAACUGUAGCAGACAAUCCCUGUGACCGGGUCUCCUGCUCACCCGGCUGGCCACUCAGCACACUGGCACCAGGGGCCACAGCCUCCCUGUCAGCCUGGUGACUGUCCCCAGCACAGGAGGCAGCCUACUGCUGACCUGCCCGCAGGGCUGGGGAAGGUGCGUUGGGACUGAACCUGCAUGCGGGGCUUGCUGCCAGCACCUGAACCCAGAGUGGGCAGGGCAGAGCCUCAGCCCCACCGAGCCAGCCAGCGUGCAGACGCCUCAGCUAAGGAUGGGGUGGAAGGGCAGGUCCUUGCCAGGAGAGUGGCACAGUCUCCUCUCUCCAUAGCCUCUGUCUCCCAGCUCUGCCUCUGUCUGUCCUGGACACUGCAGUCUUUGGGUUUCAGUUGGGAGCAGAGGCUCAGGAUGCAGCUGGGCUGGGCAGCAGUCAAAUGCCUGCAGCUACUUCCUUCUCCUCCUCAAUAAGGAGGAGUGUGGUCGGGGCUGCUCUCCCAGGAUGGCCUGUGGAACUGGGGUGCCACUCUUAGAAAUAGCUCCCCUUGACUCCCCUUGAUGCCCCUGCCCAAGCCUCUGGUUCAGGCCCUUUGGCUUCCCAGCAGGUCUGGGGGAAGGGUGGGAUUGGAGCUGGCUCUGCCAUGAUACUGGGUAUGUCUGGGCUGGUCCCUGCCCAUUUCUGAGUCCCACUCUCCCCAUAUGUGAAAUGUGAAAAACACCACCCUAUUGCCCUGAGCAGCCCCAGGCUAUCACCCAUAGGGGCUGCUCAGGGCAAUACCUAGCCCUGGUGUGGUCAGGAACCCCAGGGAGAGCCCGACUGGGCUGGUCCAGGGAUGAUGUGCAGAGGUGGGCCUGGCAUUGCCCAAAGCCUCUGCUCCUGGGCCCACACACCUGGGGCCUCUUGCACUGAGCAGAGGUGGCUACUCCUCCCCUGCCCCCAGGCCCUGUUACCAGGAGGCAUCCGCCUAGACUCCUCAGCCAAAUCUGAGCUGGUUUCCGCUGGGGACAGGAAGUAGAGGAAAGGGAAGUGUGGGGGGGUCGCAUUCCUGGGGGGUGAGCAAGGAGGAGGCAGGCCCCUGCAAGACCAAGUCAGAGCCCAGGCUGCUGCCCAGGCUGGCUGCUCACAGGAACCCCUCCUGGGCCUCCCCCUCCUCCCCCUUCCUUGUGUCCCCCUACUCCCUGGGCUUCCUGCACUCCAUGUCACCAGCACCCGUGAGCUCUCCAAGUGGUGGUCAGUAGUGGCCACCUGGGCUCAGCGUGGAGUAGCAGCAGCUGCCUCUACACAGUGGUGACAUGGAGGUGCUCAUACCCACAGGAGUACCCUGGUGCAGGCACAAAUACCUCCAGCCAGAUGCCUCCCUCCUGAAGCUGCGGAGCUCCUCUCCCUGGAGGGCCACUUGGGAGAGGGCCCUGGGGUCACACCUGGGCUCUGACUGCAAGCCCCCUGGCUGUCUGGAAGCUCUGGUCUGUGUGUCCUUCAGUCCCCGGGCUCAGGAAUGGGCUCAGGACAGGUUUGUAGGAUGCACAUUAGCAGACAUGAAGGAGCUGACCCAUGUGGGUCAGGUAUCCUGCAUGGUUAUCGUCUGGCUGCCCUGGCCAGAGCAGCCCUUGGAGGGGCUGCUCACUGGGCUGGAGGUUCAAUGUGGCUCGCAGGGAUUGGGCUCCUUCGGACACUGUGGCAGUGAGCAGUGACACAGGCAGGUGGGGGCUCCCCAGCAAGCCUGCUGGGACCUCUGUGAGCUGCAGUUGUGUGCCUUCUGUUGCCCAGUGCGGUCGGGGUGCUGGUCUGCAGGUCUGCCACCUCUAGCUAGCAGCAGGGAGGCUGGGCCAGGACAGAUAGAAGCAGUACCCUGAUGAUUUAGCCCCCACCUUGCUCUUGGCUUGAGGCUGGCCACCUGAGCUGUGCCCAAAGUCCCUCUUUGGCAGCUCUUCCUUCUGCUUCUCCAUCUACCCCAGACCCAUACCUCUCUCUAUCCAGGUACCCCUGGUUCCCCAGGUCACCAAACCUGGCCUUCUCCAUUUUCAGCCCCCUCUGGCCACUACCCCCUUGUGGUCCACAGGGCACAGAAACCAUCCCAUCAGAGCACCCAGAAUGAACCCUCUGCAGGGCCAAGACCCCCAUCUUGAGGCAGGUCAAAGAGCUAGGGACCUGUGGAGAAGCAUGUGGUCCCACAGCUCAACUAUCUCCCUUGUGACCAUUCUUGUUCUGGACAGCCUCCCCAUCUGACCAUCUAAGAUGACAAGGCAUGAUGGGACUGUCCUAAGAUGGGGCUCAGAGCCACCAUGCCCAUGAUGCAGCUAAGAGCCCUGUCACUCACUGUCAUUGCUAGGUACCCAGCUUCCUCCACUCCCACAGAGAGGGGCAAAGUGCAGGGAGCUGAGAAGCCUUGAGGCCACUGGGUUCCCUCCUUGGGGACCUCACACCUUGGGAUGUUCUUGGGGCUCAAAGGUCCCUGGGAAACAUGUUCUGGGCGCGAGAUCUGCUGAUUAGGGCUCUGGGGGCCUGAGAACCGGCAGGCGGGGGUGGGCCAGCCCAUUUGUGGCGAUGAGCAGAUAAACCCACUGCCAAGGAGACUGUUUCGAAAUCAGCCAGCCUAGGGUGAGUGGGCGGGGCCCAAGGGGCCACCAGAGACCUCAGGGUGGCCCCUGCGAGGAGGCCCCCAUCUCUGCUGCAAGCACAGGGCAGAUGGGCCAGGCAAGGGGUCACGGAGGCCAGUGAAGACUGUAGGAACUCUGGCCAGCAGGUGGGACAGUCCUUAGUUUUGUCAACCCUCGUCAUUUUGCUAGAGAAACAUUUCUUUACAGAUGGUCCAAAAUCAACUGCAGCCAGGGCAGGGAUGGAUGCAGCCCCACCCUGGCCCCACCAGGCCUCCAUCUGGUCUCCCCACUGGGAGACCAGUCUGCCUGGCCCCUGCUGUUACCCUGUGGUUCUCUGUGGCACCAGCACAGGCAGGUGCUGUCCACCCCCAGGGAAGCUGAGAUGUCUGAGAUCCUGGGGACUGGAACUGGCAGCCCUCAAGAAGGGCUCCCCCGAGGGCAUCAAGGACGGAGGCGAGAGCUACCCAGGACGGAGGCCACUGCACACCACCUGCUCCAAGGAGGGCCCUUCUCUGCCCCAGACCUCUGUGGGAAGUGGCCAGCCAGCUUGGGGCUGUUCAGGGCAUGUGCUGUUGGCCCUUCUGGGCGAUGGUCUCUCUCCUGGCCUCAGGAUGCUGCCAUGAAUGGGUCCCAAGACCCCCUUCUAGAGACCCCAUCCCUGCCCUUCACUGAAGAGCAAGUCAUAUGCACACAGGUGUGUCUGCAUGUGACAGUAUACGUGGGCGUAUAUCUGCAUGGAAGGUGUGCACAAGUAAGCAUGUGUACAUGUAUGGCUAUGAGCAGGCUUGUGUGCACGUGUUGGUAUAUGUCUGUACAUGUGUAUGCAAGGGAGGGGCCACCAGAGAGAGCAUGGGGUCCUGAGUGUCCAGGUCCUGGAGACAUCUGUGCACCUCACAGAGAGAAGCAUGGACCAUAGCCCUGUGUGGUCCUAGGAAGUAUUGGUCACAUUUGCAGGCCUGGGAUAUUCAGGUAUUGGUCACAUUUGCAGGCCUGGGAUAGCUCACUCCUGCAGCUGUGGGUACGGCCAGGGGCUUCACAGAGACAGGUAAUGGUCCCCAAUUUUGUCCCAUCUGUGGCCCUGUGGGGGCAGGCCACACCACUCUCUGGGAGCCUUCCUGCCUAUGCCAUGGUGGCCUCUUCUUUUUCCUAAGGCCCUAUGGACUCUUCCAGCUCCCCUCCCAGACCCAGAGCCUGGAGGGCAGAGCCAGGCCUUGUUCUCUGGCCAGCUCUGCUCAGGCAUGGGAUGCAGGGUCAGGGUAGGUGCCUUGUCCAUUGCAGAGUCCACAUUUCCCUCUGACACCUCAGAGGCCCCCAGCGGGGCCCAAAAGCCCACAGGGGUCAGGAGCAAAACCUCUGUGGCCUCUACAUGGAGACUUCAUUCAGGACAGGCCAUGGGCUCCCACCCCAUUGAGGUGGUCUCUGAGGUUAACCAUGCAGGGAGGGGCUCAGCUCAGUGAUCCUGGGGGAGGGAAGCCAGGACUGGCCUGUGCUGAGGCGUCCUGAGCCUGAGAGAGCAGUGAAGAGCCCUCCCAGCAGCCACUGGUCAAGGAUAUGGGUCUGAACCCCAGGAUUCCCAGUGCAAGGCUGGGUGUGUGUCUCAGGCCAGCACAUGGAGGGACUGGGGCAGCCUGCACUUCUGCAUGUCAGACACCCGUAGGAGGCAGGUACCCAUGCCCUAUGCAGGGCCACAGGCUGAAGGCUGUGGUCCCCUGGCCCUGCUGGGCCCCCUCCCCACCCAGGGCCUGAGCUGAGCAAUGUCCUGGGAUGACACAGUGGGAGCCCCAGGGUGUGCUGUGUGGGGCGGCACCAGCCCUGCCCACACAUCCUUUUCCCACGGGCCUUUCGACACCUGGAGGUUGUACUUCUGUGGCUUAGCUGUCCCUCCAGCCCUGGAGCCUGACAGGGGUUCCUCUGGGGAAGCAGCUCCAUCCCUCCACCAGGAAGCCCUGACCAGGCAGUGCUUCCUUCCUGUGCCCUCCUUCCCCUCACUCAGCUGGCCCAGGCCUGGCCUCUGGGUCUGGGGGUUUCCUAGGCAGCUGUGUGGGCAGAACUGUAGGUCUGGCCUGUGGUCACUUGCAGGUCCACUGGGGAAGGUCUCUGAGAAGUUGGGAUCCUAGUCUCUGCAGCUGCCCCCCUGGAGGCUGAGGUCAAUGCUGUACUCCCCAGGCCACUGAGGGGACAGAGGUGUGGGGUACAGUGCAGCACAGGGUGCCGGGGCCCAGCCUUCGCUGAGUGGUGUCUGCAGCCCUCCCAGGACUGGCCUGUGAGCCUGUGCAAGGCCGCCCUCUCAUGCUGAGUCACACCAGGCAGACAAACGCCCCGGUGUCGUCCAAAAGGACCUGGCCCCACCCUCGGGAACCAUGGGUGCUGGUUUUCCCACGGCCUGCUGCCUGAUCUGGGGCCUGCUGUCACCCCAACGGGGCCCUGGAGCCCUGCCCCUGCUAGGGCUGGAAAAGCCGGUUUGGCACCAUUUGCUGCCCCCGCCCUCUGCCCCUGGCUCCCUCUCUACAGGUUGCCUGCCAUGGAGGCCUCCCUGUCCAUCUCCUGGACACUUGGUUCAAAACCUCACCUGCUCUGUGUAGGCAGCAGCCAUAGGGCUGGGGUUGUACUGACCCUGCCCUCCUGGGCGGGGCUCAUGGACAAGCCACUGUCCGGGGGAAGACAUCUGCUGACACUGAGUACCAACGCUCUUCCAUGCGCCUCUGCCCUUCCAGUUGGAGAGGGGGCUUCUGGGGUGAGCUUGGUCACAGCUACAGGGCUCCUGGCUGAUUGGGGUCCCACACCCUCGUUCUGCCCAGCCAUCCACGUGGGACAAGCAGACUCCGGUUUCAGGAUGCCACAGAGUCUGGAUAUAAACUAGUGGGGACAGUGUGGACCUGACCAGAGGCCAAGGCCUUGAGUCCAGAAGAGCACAGCUGGGCACCUGGUUGUGGUCAGUGGCCACCCUGGUUUUUGCACCCCUACCCACCCACUCCAGUCUGGGAGCCCUAGGGUAGGGCCACCCCAGAGCCUGGACAGGAGGGAAAGGUACCUGGAGGGUGUGGGAGGGCCCAGGUGAGUGGGAGCAGAUGGGGCUGGGAAGGUUCCCAGCUUCUCUGUUCCAGGGGUCUGCCUGCUCGCCUGUUCCCACAGCUCCUUCACCACAAGGUGCCAACACUGUACGGUCCUGACUCGGGCACUUCCGCCAGGGACUGCUACUGGGAGGGCCUGAGCUCUCUGAUGUGCCUCCUGGGGCUGGCCGCUGGCCUCUGGGGUCUGUGGCUCCUCGUCCCUGAGCAGGAGUGAGAGCUGGACAGGUCUGUGCUCCCUGUACUGGCUAUCCAGGGAGGUGUGUCCCAGCCUUCAGGCCUGGACUGUAAGGUGCAUGGAGGGGCCAAAGCAGGCGAGACCACCCCUUCCACUCUCUCCCCCACUGUGGCUGGAGACUUGGUGAGAUGGGAGGGCAGCUGAAGGCUCUGGGGGUCCUGUUCCCAGUUUGCUGGGCACCACGCCAGCAGUGGUCCUCCUCUCAGAGCUGAGCACAGCAGUCCCCGCCAUACCACCCAGGGGAGUGACCACACUGUAGGAGCAGGGGUGGGUCACAGGGGAGUGACCAGGCUGUAGGAGCAGGGGUGGGUCAGAGUGUCUGUUCUGAGCUGUUUCCAGGAACUUCUGGUGUCCCUGUCCCAGUGGCCCCAUCCCUGUGCCCUCUGUUCCAGUGCCCUCCUGUCCUGUGCUCCUGUCCUGGUACCGAUCAUCCUGUCCAUAUGCACUGUGUGUAUGCCUAGAGGUGUGUCUGACCUGUGCACCCCAAAAAGUGGGCACCAGGGUGCAGGUGUGGACAGUGGAGAGAGAGAUUUUCCUCAGAGUCCAUCAACCCUUCCCCAUGCUGAGGGUAGCAGAGUUCCAACUGGCCUAGGCCACUGGCCACUAACAGACACCACUGGAUCCUAACAGAACUGAGACCCCAGGACUCACCAAGCUUGGAGGCUGAAAGACAGGGGAAGGUGGGACGCCAGCCCUGGGUCCCCCAGGACUGAAUCCUGUGAGGGUCCUGUACCCUGGGGGUGCAGGGAGCAGGCAGUAGCCCAUCCAGCUGGCUGCCCAGGGAAGGGGUGCACUGCUAACUAGGCCAGGAAUCUCUGGGGGCUAGGCAGAGGUGACCUGAGCUGGCCUCCCACAGGAUGGCCGCCCCGGGAAUUCCCACAGCCUUGUUCUCCCUGCUUAGCAGGUACCUGGCAAGGCUAAGAGGUCCAGGCUCCACCUACCAGAUGGGGACAAUCCCGGGUUACUUGGAUUUCUGCCCCACGCCCAGGCACUGACCCCCUCUAGAAGGAUGGGGCAAGGAUGGCAGAGACUGAGGGAUCUCCUGCCUCUGAGCAAAGACACAGGUUUGCAAAACCUCCGCUGGGCCUGUGGCCAGUGCCUCCCCUCCCUGCUCCCCACUCCCACUGGGCCCAGGCCUCUUGGAGGAGCGGGGAGGUGGGGUUGGUCUGAGGUUGGGGCCUUGCACCUGGGUGGAAUCGCAUCUGGGGACUCCAACCUGGGAAUUCCCACCCCCAGGCAGGGUGUGGAGAGGGGAAUUCUACUCAGAGAGGGAAAUGGGGGGCUGCUUGGAACAGGAGCUGGGUAGUAUGCUCUAGACCAAGGGACCAUUUCUGCUCAUUUUGAGCAAUCUGGGAAACAAGAGAGCAUGAACGAGCAGGAAGAAAGCCACCCUUCACCCCACCUCUUGGCAGAAAAAGCUGGCAGCACCUUACAUCCCAGGACACGCCCACAGACAGGACCAGCCUUCACUGGGCAAGGGCAGCUGGUCAAUGCUUUUGUCAGGGAGAAGGGCCCCUGGGUGGGCGUCCCAGGGUACUUGCUGUGCAUUUGAUCCCUGCAGGUCUUGAGGCCCCAGCCUGGCUUGUCUACUCUAACCUGUGCUGGGAACGACCCCAACAAAUGGCCUGCUUGACACCUUGGUGGACAGGAAGGAGCCCUGGGAGGAAGCAAUCACACACCAUCCUGCCAUCCCUGUCCCAGGAGCACCUCCAGGGUCCCCAGGAUGCAGCUGCACACUGGGAACUGAAUAGCCCCCUCUGCACCACUUCUGACAGACCUGCUCGGCCCACCCCGAGGCUCUCAGCCCAGUGCUGGGCACCCCCACCCCAUAGUUGGGCUCUAAUUUGCUGAAGACAGUGCCGGAUCAGGGCACUGGGCCCUGGAGGCGGGGACCAGCUGGGGUGGGUCGGCUUGCAUGUAUGGGAAGGUUUUAGAAUCCAGAGGCUGAGCUCUCCUAUCCCCACGAGGUGAGCUAGUGUCCCCGCAGUGCCCCUGGGGUCUGGAGUAUGUAACCAAGGAUGGCAGCCCUGGCAGGGGCUUUGUCCCUACAGCCCCUGCCCCCACUGCCUGCCCCCAGCCCAGGAAGGGCAGUUCCCAUGGGCCCCAACCCCUCCCCCACCUCGUCCCUGCCCGAUCGCCUUUGUGCAGCCAGGACAAUGUCUCCACAGACAGAAUGGGGGAUGGGGAAGGGGGGAUGGGCCUGGGGCUAACCUCUGUGUUGAGAGUCCCCUGGGAGGGUGGGACAGCUGGGCCCACAGUCUGCAUGCACCCUGGUGGCCCAGAAGGAGGGUCUCCUGUUGCAGAGGAGGAGGGGCACGCAGGUGGGCCCUGAGCUGGCCAGGGUGCCUCCCUAGUAUUCAGUGUGGUGCUAGGACUUGCUAGGCAAGUGCUCCACCUCUGAGCUCCAGUGACCUGGGAUUACAGCGCUGGACACAUCAGCGCUUCUUGCAGCCCAGGAUACCCUGCCCGGACACCUGCCUAGGGGAAGAGGAGGAACUGCCCACUGACAGGGGUUUCCAUCAAGCUCUGCCCCCAUCAAGGGCCUGCCCAGAGCAGGGUGGGGAGUCCAGUCUUUUCUUUCAGGCCUGAGCUCUGAGAAGUGGUUGCAAAACAAGGGGCCUGCCUUCACUCCUGCCCACCACUGCCCUUGGCGCCGAGGACCAGGACACCCAGCUUCACCUUCUGGCUGACAGCUCCCAAGUUUGUAGCCACUGCCUCAGGACUCUGACUCCUGAGUAGCACACUCCAGGCCCAUGCUGUGGGGUGGAGGCGAGAGCCACAGGGCUUGGACAGGGGCUGUCCUGGAGGCUCUGGGUCUUUACUAAAGGUACAGUCACAGCCCUCUGGGGGCGCUGAACAUAAGUCUGCUAAAUGUGAAUUCCCCGCUAAAUGUGGGACAUGUUUUUAUAUAAAAAAUUGUUCUCAGAAAUUCA